rnacentral:tRNA from 1 species
GAGGGUGUAGCUCAGUGGUAGUGCACAAGGCCAGCAAGCACAAGGUCCUGGGUUCAAUCCCCAGUACCUCCA